UAGUUAUGUUCUUUAAACCUAAAGAAUUUGGCGGUGUUUUAAUCUAUUUAGAGGAACUUGCCCCUUAAUCGAUAAUCCUCGUUUUAUCUUGCUUUAUUAAUAAAGGUAUGUAUAUCGCUGUUAUAAGUUUAUUUUAUUAGGAUUAUAAUUUACUUUAUUUUUUAAUUUAAUUUAUUUCAAGUCAAGGUGCAGCUUAUAAUUAAGUGGAGGUGAGUUACAAUAUAUUUAUGUAAACGGAUUUAAAUUUUAAAAUUUUAUUGAAGGUGGAUUUAAUAGUAAUAUUGAUUAUAGAGUCAGUUUGAUUUUAGUUCUAAAAUAAGUACACAUCGCCCGAUCGCUCUA
rnacentral:rRNA from 1 species